rnacentral:rRNA from 1 species
UACGUAGGGUGCUAGCGUUGUCCGGAAUCAUUGGGCGUAAAGAGCUUGUAGGCGGCUCGGUAAGUCCGCUGUGAAAGUCCAGGGCUCAACCCUGGAAUGCCAGUGGAAACUGUCGAGCUAGAGUCCGGAAGAGGCGAGUGGAAUUCCUGGUGUAGCGGUGAAAUGCGCAGAUAUCAGGAGGAACACCAAUGGCGAAGGCAGCUCGCUGGGACGGUACUGACGCUGAGACGCGAAAGCGUGGGGAGCAAACAGG